AGACGUCAACAGGAAAAUAUUCAGCGCCAAAGCCGAGGAGAAGCCCCUCUUCCUGAGGAGGACAUCAACAAACUUUUUAAACCACCACAGCCGCCUCCACGAAUGGAGUCGCUCCUCAUUGCAGGUCAAAUUAAUACCUACUGCCAGAAUAUUAAAGAGUUCAAUGCACAGAACCUGGGCAAGCUUUUCAUGGCUCAGGCUCUCCAGGAUUACAACAACUGAAGAAACUUUGCUUUAGCCCUCACUAGAAAGUUAUUUACAGCUUUAUACUGUUCAUGAUCCUCCUCAAAAUUUAGUAUAGUGAGGAAAAGUCUUGUAAAACAGAGUCACAUUGGUCUGUGUAGAAUUCUCCUGUAAGAAAAAUAAAGGCAAAUUUUAA